UGUGUGCUUAGUUAUCGGGAUUUUUUUAAAUGCGAGAUUAAUGAUUUCGAUAUAAGGAAAAUCAGCAUACAGAUAUAUAUAGAUAUAACAUGUAUAAGAAUAUGUGGUAUGAGUGCUAAUGAGACAUCUCUCCAUCUGUAUAUAUGAGUAAUCAGAAUGUGCGAAUACUCACAAAGUAGCAUAUUCGCAUUAACAAAACACCUCACAAUAAUUUCUGAACUA
rnacentral:lncRNA from 1 species